UACAGAGGGUGCGAGCGUUAAUCGGAAUUACUGGGCGUAAAGCGUGCGCAGACGGUUGCGUAAGUCAGAUGUGAAAGCCCCGGGCUCAACCUGGGGAAUUGCAUUUGAGACUGCGUAGCUAGGGUGCGGAAGAGGGAAGCGGAAUUUCCGGUGUAGCGGUGAAAUGCGUAGAUAUCGGAAGGAACACCAGUGGCGAAAGCGGCUCCUGGUCCAGCACCGACGUCAGGCACCGAAAGCGUGGGGAGCAA
rnacentral:rRNA from 1 species